GGCUUCAUAGUUCAGCCGGUAGAGAACUUGCCGCAUUUGGACAUGCUAUUUCUUUUGCUGGUUCAAAUCUAGUUGAAGUCC